GGGCCCGCACAAGCGGUGGAGCAUGUGGUUUAAUUCGAUGAUACGCGAGGAACCUUACCAGGACUUAAAUGUAAGUUGCAUGAUUCAGAAAUGAAUCUUUCUUCGGACUACUUACAAGGUGCUGCAUGGUUGUCGUCAGCUCGUGCCGUGAGGUGUCAGGUUAAGUCCUAUAACGAGCGCAACCCCUAUCGUUAGUUGCCAUCAAGUAAAGUUGGGAACUCUAGCGAAACUGCCGGUGCAAACCGAGAGGAAGGUGGGGAUGACGUCAAAUCAUCACGGCCCUUACGUUCUGGGCUACACACGUGCUACAAUGGUCGGUACAGAAAGCAGCCACUAUGCGAAUAGGAGCUAAUCUUUAAAACCGGUCUCAGUUCGGAUCGGGGUCUGCAACUCGGCCCCGUGAAGCUGGAAUCGCUAGUAAUCG
rnacentral:rRNA from 1 species